GUUUUAGCCAAAUGGAAAGCCUAGACCAAUAUAGGGUUUUGUUUUGUUGUUGUUGUUGUUGUUGUUUUAAUGUCAGUAUUAAAACAGCUGACGGCAAAUUAAGCCAGAUGGCUUAGAACGUGUGAUUUGAUUCAUUCCUGCAUAGAUGCUGGGGUGCCUAGAAAAAUCUCAGCUCCUCCUGUAUGCACCACACAUUUUGGGUUUGAUUUCUAGGUCUUUCAAAGACAGAAGCCUUCCAUAACGUACUUCAUCAGUAUCUUCUUCAGUAUUUUGUUGGGCUUGGGACCAGCAGGAGAUGGAUCUUGUCAGCGUGGAUGGAGCUUGAUGUUCGUGUGCUUUUCAUCAAAGAGUUUGUGUUUAGGUUGCACUGAGGCUGUGGGAGGAAGACUGCAUCACAGACUGCACUUUAUGGACUGCUGGAGUGAUUACAGAUGCAGAAAUCAAAGGAGAUGAAGAGGAGAAAAGCAAAUCCUCCAUGGUGUAGCAGAGCACUGUGCUGUGCUGAGCCUUGGAUAAAGCAUGGGAGAGCUGAGGCCAUAUUUAUCAAAACUUCGCUUGCAGUUUUCCUGGUGGAUGGCUUUCUUCCUGAAGUGGUGCUAAACCCCAUGAAAUACAGCAGAUCUCUAUGCAGAAUCGAGGGACGCUGAUGUUUGCUAAGUCAACCUGCAGCAAUUCCAGGCAGGUUCCUCUGAGCUCUCCGACUUGCACGUCUCAUCUGGAAUGUUUUUUUAUCAGCAGCACAGAGAGGGUUUCUAGCAGUUAAAUCCCCAACGUGUACGUGGAAUUAAGGGCCAUUGCAUACAUCCUGGUUACCUCUAACUGUUCGAGCCUUAUUUGUGCAAAACAAUAAAACAUGUUAAACAUUAAAGUGGAGAAGUGAUA
rnacentral:lncRNA from 1 species